AGCAGCCGCGGUAAUUCCAGCUCCAAUAGCGUAUAUUAAAGUUGCUGCAGUUAAAAAGCUCGUAGUUGAAUUUCGGGAUCAAUAUGUUGGUCGUGCCUUGGUACGUACUAGCUUAUUGAUUUCUCCUUUCUGACGAACCAUGAUGUCAUUAAUUUGGUGUCAUGGGGAAUCAGGACUGUUACUUUGAAAAAAUUAGAGUGUUUAAAGCAGGCUCGCGCUUGAAUACAUUAGCAUGGAAUAAUGAAAUAGGACAUUUGAUUCUAUUUUGUUGGUUUCUAGGAUCGAUGUAAUGAUUAAUAGGGAUAGUUGGGGGCAUUAGUAUUCAAUUGUCAGAGGUGAAAUUCUUGGAUUUAUUGAAGACUAACUACUGCGAAAGCAUUUGCCAAGGAUGUUUUCAUUAAUCAAGAACGAAAGUUAGGGGAUUCGAAGACGAUCAGAUACCGUCGUAGUCUUUAACCAUAAACUAUGCCGACUAGGGAUCGGAUGAUGUUAAUUUUUAAU
rnacentral:rRNA from 1 species